GCCAAUUCUGGCUGGGUCACCUUAGUGGGAGGCUGCCUUCCCUUCUGCUGCUGGGGCUCAUCUGUGUGAAGUCUGGGGCUGACUCUCACCACAGGAAAGACUGCCAGGGGAAAUGAGCACCUGUUAAUGUUCUUCAGUCCCACUCCACCCCUGGGCCCCCUUAGGGGACCUUUCCUACACUCCCCACCCCCAAUCCUGACGGCUGGAGGUAGGAUCGAUCUUGAACAGUCUCUGAUAAAAGCCAGUUUCUGCUAGACCCGCCUUGCUCCCAGCGCCACACACCCAGCCUUGAGCCUCAGCAUGUCUCUGUCCAGAAGCCCUUGGUCCACAAAGCAGAUCUGGAUCCAGGGCUCACUCCACCAGUUACUGG
ensembl:processed_transcript Gm16938 predicted gene, 16938